UACGUAGGCAGCGAGCGUUGUUCGGAAUUACUGGGCGUAAAGAGUGUGUAGGCGGUGCUCCCAGUCUGUUGUGAAAUCUCCCGGCUUAACUGGGAGGGUGCAGCGGAAACUAGAGUGCUAGAGGGUGGGAGAGGUAAGCGGAAUUCCUGGUGUAGCGGUGAAAUGCGUAGAUAUCAGGAGGAACACCGAUGGCGAAGGCAGGUCUCUGGGCAGUUACUGACGCUGAGGAGCGAAAGCAUGGGGAGCGAACAGG
rnacentral:rRNA from 1 species